rnacentral:tRNA from 1 species
ACGUUUGUAGCUUAAUAGGAUAAAGCAUUAAAUUACGAAUUUAAGAAUAAAAGUUCAAAUCUUUUCAAACGUU